rnacentral:tRNA from 1 species
GGGGUUGUGGCUCAGUGGUAGAGCGCAUGCCUGGCAAGUGCGAGGCCCUGGGUUCAAUCCUCAGCCCCA